UGACAGUGACAAAAAGGAAGCAGCCUUCUCUAGCCCACCCAAGUUUCCAUCAAAGGAGCAAGCCUAUGUCAGUAAGAAGAAAGCUGGCUAACCCUCCCACCCCUUGUUUAACUCCUCCAGCCCAUCCCACAUCAUUGUAGAGUGAAGAGACUGCGGUUAAUAU